UUGCCAAUCGGGUUCCUUGAACUAAGAUUGUUAGGGGACAGGCUUACUAAGUUGGAUUUUAAUAAAGUAUUAUGUAUCACUUCAUAUACAAUUUGAAUAUAAGUUUUCACCUUAAACGCUGGAUGAAAGCACUUACUGUUCCUCAAAUUUUUGUUUUCAGUGCAUUUUGAGUGAUAUGAAUUUAUAAAAUUUGGUGGAUUACUGUUUGAUGUAAGAGGUGCCCAGAUGGUUUUAUUUGAAUCUAACUUUGAAAACAGGUUUUUAUUUGUUUGCCAAUAUUUGUCAUAAUGCGUAAUGUUUAUAAUAAAUGUUAUUGAGUGCCCAUAAUUUAUAUUUCAUCGUAAAGCAAUUAAUAUAAGCAUUAUUUUGUAAAGUAACUUCAAAUGACGCUUGGGACAUUUAAAUGUUGUUUACGAAGCUGAUAUUACAGCAAAUUUGAUUUCCGCACUGAUUGAUCCAAAAAAGGAAAUUCGCGAAGUAUGAAGUGUUUACAUGGGGCCUAAACUAGUGACUUAAAUCAUGAAUAAAGGGCCAAUCUGAAAUACUUAUCAAUAAACAACAGGUUAAACACUCAAAAAAAUGUAAGUACAUAUUUUU